rnacentral:rRNA from 1 species
UACAGAGGUCCCGAGCGUUUGUUCGGAUUCACUGGGCGUAAAGGGUGCGUAGGUGGCGAGGUAAGUCGGAUGUGAAAUCUCCAAGCUUACUUGGAAAUGGCAUUGGAACUACCUGGCUAGAGGUUUGGAGGGGGACUGGAAUACUUGGUGUAGCAGUGAAAUGCGUAGAUAUCAGGAAGAACACCAUGGCGAAAGCAGCUUCUGGGACGGUACUGACGCU